rnacentral:rRNA from 1 species
AGAGUUUGAUCCUGGCUCAGGACGAACGCUGGCGGCGUGCCUAAUACAUGCAAGUCGAACGAACUCUGGUAUUGAUUGGUGCUUGCAUCAUGAUUUACAUUUGAGUGAGUGGCGAACUGGUGAGUAACACGUGGGAAACCUGCCCAGAAGCGGGGGAUAACACCUGGAAACAGAUGCUAAUACCGCAUAACAACUUGGACCGCAUGGUCCGAGRUUGAAAGAUGGCUUCGGCUAUCACUUUUGGAUGGUCCCGCGGCGUAUUAGCUAGAUGGUGYGGUAACGGCUCACCAUGGCAAUGAUACGUAGCCGACCUGAGAGGGUAAUCGGCCACAUUGGGACUGAGACACGGCCCAAACUCCUACGGGAGGCAGCAGUAGGGAAUCUUCCACAAUGGACGAAAGUCUGAUGGAGCAACGCCGCGUGAGUGAAGAAGGGUUUCGGCUCGUAAAACUCUGUUGUUAAAGAAGAACAUAUCUGAGAGUAACUGUUCAGGUAUUGACGGUAUUUAACCAGAAAGCCACGGCUAACUACGUGCCAGCAGCCGCGGUAAUACGUAGGUGGCAAGCGUUGUCCGGAUUUAUUGGGCGUAAAGCGAGCGCAGGCGGUUUUUUAAGUCUGAUGUGAAAGCCUUCGGCUCAACCGAAGAAGUGCAUCGGAAACUGGGAAACUUGAGUGCAGAAGAGGACAGUGGAACUCCAUGUGUAGCGGUGAAAUGCGUAGAUAUAUGGAAGAACACCAGUGGCGAAGGCGGCUGUCUGGUCUGUAACUGACGCUGAGGRUCGAAAGUAUGGGUAGCAAACAGGAUUAGAUACCCUGGUAGUCCAUACCGUAAACGAUGAAUGCUAAGUGUUGGAGGGUUUCCGCCCUUCAGUGCUGCAGCUAACGCAUUAAGCAUUCCGCCUGGGGAGUACGGCCGCAAGGCUGAAACUCAAAGGAAUUGACGGGGGCCCGCACAAGCGGUGGAGCAUGUGGUUUAAUUCGAAGCUACGCGAAGAACCUUACCAGGUCUUGACAUACUAUGCAAAUCUAAGAGAUUAGACGUUCCCUUCGGGGARAUGGAUACAGGUGGUGCAUGGUUGUCGUCAGCUCGUGUCGUGAGAUGUUGGGUUAAGUCCCGCAACGAGCGCAACCCUUAUUAUCAGUUGCCAGCAUUAAGUUGGGCACUCUGGUGAGACUGCCGGUGACAAACCGGAGGAAGGUGGGGAUGACGUCAAAUCAUCAUGCCCCUUAUGACCUGGGCUACACACGUGCUACAAUGGAUGGUACAACGAGUUGCGAACUCGCGAGAGUAAGCUAAUCUCUUAAAGCCAUUCUCAGUUCGGAUUGUAGGCUGCAACUCGCCUACAUGAAGUCGGAAUCGCUAGUAAUCGCGGAUCAGCAUGCCGCGGUGAAUACGUUCCCGGGCCUUGUACACACCGCCCGUCACACCAUGAGAGUUUGUAACACCCAAAGUCGGUGGGGUAACCUUUUAGGAACCAGCCGCCUAAGGUGGGACAGAUGAUUAGGGUGAAGUCGUAACAAGGUAGCCGUAGGAGAACCUGCGGCUG